AGACUCCUGGUUCCAGUAUGGACAAUCUAGACAGCUCUGUAACAGGAAAAGCCUUUACUUCCUCUCAAAGGCAGCGGCCCACCAGCCCAUUUUCUACAGACAGUAACACCAGUGCUGCCCAGAAUCAAAGCCAGAGGCCUCGGCCCACCAAAAAACACAAGGGAGGGCGGAUGGACCCACAGCCAGUGUUACCUCAUCGGAGGGAAGGCGGGCACAGCUCAUCCGGAACAGCCUCCUCUAAAGGGUCCACUGGUCCUCGGAAGGCUGAGAUUCUGAGGGGCAGCCACCAGCGGAAUGCCAAUGACCUUCUCGACAUUGGAUAUGUGGGCUCAAAUAGUCAAGGGCAGUUUACAGAGUAACUGAGAGGAGACAUACAAAGACGCUCUGAGGACCAUCAGGUCCAAACUCAUGGAAGUGAUGACAUUUAACAGUGCAAUGAACAAUUUCUUUAUUUAUGUACUAUUAAAAAAUACUGUAAAUGCAAUGUAAAGACACAGCCACACAUAUCCCACAGUUCUUUUCUUGUGUCCUUCUCUUACUUACACCACCCACCUUAACUCUUUCUUGUCAGGAGUAUAUAAGAAAAAGAAAGAA
rnacentral:lncRNA from 1 species